GCCGGGGUAGCGAAGUCAGAAAUUGGCUAUGUCAAACGCGAUCGCCUCGAAAGCGAUUGUCCUUCUGGACUCGUGGGUUCAAAUCCCACCCCCGGCG
rnacentral:tRNA from 1 species